GCUGGCGGCGUGCCUAAUACAUGCAAGUUGAGCGCUGAAGGUUGGUACUUGUACCGACUGGAUGAGCAGCGAACGGGUGAGUAACGCGUGGGGAAUCUGCCUUUGAGCGGGGGACAACAUUUGGAAACGAAUGCUAAUACCGCAUAAAAACUUUAAACACAAGUUUUAAGUUUGAAAGAUGCAAUUGCAUCACUCAAAGAUGAUCCCGCGUUGUAUUAGCUAGUUGGUGAGGUAAAGGCUCACCAAGGCGAUGAUACAUAGCCGACCUGAGAGGGUGAUCGGCCACAUUGGGACUGAGACACGGCCCAAACUCCUACGGGAGGCAGCAGUAGGGAAUCUUCGGCAAUGGACGAAAGUCUGACCGAGCAACGCCGCGUGAGUGAAGAAGGUUUUCGGAUCGUAAAACUCUGUUGGUAGAGAAGAACGUUGGUGAGAGUGGAAAGCUCAUCAAGUGACGGUAACUACCCAGAAAGGGACGGCUAACUACGUGCCAGCAGCCGCGGUAAUACGUAGGUCCCGAGCGUUGUCCGGAUUUAUUGGGCGUAAAGCGAGCGCAGGUGGUUUAUUAAGUCUGGUGUAAAAGGCAGUUGCUCAACCAUUGUAUGCAUUGGAAACUGGUAGACUUGAGUGCAGGAGAGGAGAGUGGAAUUCCAUGUGUAGCGGUGAAAUGCGUAGAUAUAUGGAGGAACACCGGUGGCGAAAGCGGCUCUCUGGCCUGUAACUGACACUGAGGCUCGAAAGCGUGGGGAGCAAACAGGAUUAGAUACCCUGGUAGUCCACGCCGUAAACGAUGAGUGCUAGAUGUAGGGAGCUAUAAGUUCUCUGUAUCGCAGCUAACGCAAUAAGCACUCCGCCUGGGGAGUACGACCGCA
rnacentral:rRNA from 1 species